rnacentral:rRNA from 1 species
CCUCCUCCUGCUGCUGCUCGUGUAGGGGAGAGGAGGCCACGGCGCCAUCACCAUCGCCACCCUAGACAUGGACGUAGACAUGAGGGCGCACGGGCGGCUGUUGUGGGCGACCGGCGGCGGGCGGAGGUACAUCAGUUACGACGCGCUGUGGGGGGACGCCGUGCUGUGCUCCCGGCCAGGGGUUUCCUACUACAACUGCCGCGUCAGCACCACCGCCAACCCCUACACCCGCGGCUGCGAGUCCAUCACCCGCUGCUGCGACGAUGA